AACCCAGCUUCCAGUGCCGGAGACUUCCGCGGGCGCCCGAGCUUGAGCCGGGGUGACUAACAGCCACGCCGCAGCCACACCCUGAUUUUCCCUUUUGAGUGCAGGCCUUCAGGGGUCAUAGGCACCUCCACCCUUUUGAGGAGCUUGAUUAUUAUUAAUGUUCUAAAUAUCAGUGCACCGCUGACCAACAGUUUUUAUGAUUUGCUGUUGCUCCUUGUUCAAUCAAUCUGACCGACUUAUUCAGAGAUCAGAGAACAAUUUUAUUACAUUUUUU